UAAUACGGAGGGUGCAAGCGUUAUCCGGAUUCACUGGGUUUAAAGGGUGCGUAGGUGGGCAGGUAAGUCAGUGGUGAAAUCUCUGGGCUUAACCCGGAAACUGCCGUUGAUACUAUCUGUCUUGAAUAUAGUGGAGGUGAGCGGAAUAUGUCAUGUAGCGGUGAAAUGCUUAGAUAUGACAUAGAACACCAAUUGCGAAGGCAGCUUGCUACACUAUGAUUGACACUGAGGCACGAAAGCGUGGGGAUCAAACAGGAUUAGAUACCCUGGUAGUCCACGCCCUAAACGAUGGAUACUCGACAUCAGCGAUACACAGUUGGUGUCUGAGCGAAAGCAUUAAGUAUCCCACCUGGGAAGUACGACCGCAAGGUU
rnacentral:rRNA from 1 species